UACGUAGGCAGCAAGCGUUGUUCGGAGUUACGUGGGCGUAAAGGGUGUGUAGGCGGUUGUUUAAGUUCGGUGUGAAAUCUCCUGGCUUAACUGGGAGGGUGCGCCGGAAACUGGAGUGCUUGAGCGUGGGAGAGGAAAGCGGAAUUCCUGGUGUAGCGGUGAAAUGCGUAGAUAUCUGGAGGAACAUCAGUGGCGAAGGCGGCGACCUGGGCCAAUAUUGACGCUGAGGUGCGAAAGCGUGGGGAGCAAACAGG
rnacentral:rRNA from 1 species